CAGCCGCCGCGGUAAUACGUAGGGUGCAAGCGUUAAUCGGAAUUACUGGGCGUAAAGCGUGCGCGGGCGGUUUGUUAAGACAGAUGUGAAAUCCCCGGGCUCAACCUGGGAACUGCAUUUGUGACUGGCAAGCUAGAGUGUGGCAGAGGGGGGUGGAAUUCCGCGUGUAGCAGUGAAAUGCGUAGAUAUGCGGAGGAACACCGAUGGCGAAGGCAGCCCCCUGGGCCAACACUGACGCUCAUGCACGAAAGCGUGGGGAGCAAACAGGAUUAGAGACCCCUGUAGUCCCUGUCUCUUAUAA
rnacentral:rRNA from 1 species